AGCACCUGGAAUACAGACUCAAGGUUUUCAGCUUGAGCCCAUUAACAAUAAGACCGUGUGAAGGAUCAAAACUUGCUCUGGGGCAGCAGUUUGGAUACAAAUUACCUUAUUUCAGUAAAGAACACAACUAAUGAAAGUAACCCAGCUAAAAGAAUGCACUUCGAUUUACAAUUCAAGACCAGACUCGAUCAUUUUUCCAGCACAGACCUUGAUGCCACUUUUUGGAAGCCUGCUGUGUGAACAUUUCAGAGCCCAGGAGACAGCUGUGAGCACGGAUCCACUGUCACCUAUGGAGUCACCUGCUGAGCUUUAUCCCAAAAUAAAACAUCCUACUAGGGAGCAUCAUCACCGAUGUGUAGGCAGCACUUGCCUGAUUGCUUUUCACUAUUUCUAGUGUUUUGUUAUCAUUUUCAUUUGGGAGAGUGCUUGGAGCAGUUCCGGUGGUACAGGAGGAGGCGCAGGAGCGAGACCAUCCCUCCAGAGUAAUCCCUGCUGCUUGCUGAAUAGAUACCUGAAGGCAACAUCACUUGGCUAUUUCUGGCCUGCAGUAGAUUGCUACUUGCAAACCUUUUUAUGCUGUUAUUCAUCUCCUGAGCCAUCUGGCCCCUGUUGCAGGAUACCUGCAGAUGGAUUAAUAGACCAAUCUAAUAGAGCUGUACAUAUUAAAUAUACAGCAGAAGCAGCUGUUGGGUGUUUGUUGUGAGCUUUCUAUUUUUCCCUGAUGUUUCAGCCACUGUAAUUUAAAGUUCUAAGUCAGUUCUUCAAGGAAAGGAACUGUUUUUACCUCAACUAUCCAAAAACCAAAAUAAAUUUAUCUCUCAUAAAAGAAGCCUGUCAUUGAAAAGCAAGUUAUAAUCAGCAUAAAUAUAAUUUUCUCCUUGGAGUAGAAACUUUCACUUCAGCCUUUGAAUAGCAUUGUCAGUUCAUCUUAUUAAAAUAUACCCCCCUGACAGCUCUCAUAUUAAUUGCACCAGAUUGCCUGCAGUGUGUUCAUUUGUUUGUUUGUUUACUCUUAGCUAAGAAUGACUUUCAGAAAACUUUACUUCCUUGCACAA